rnacentral:misc_RNA from 1 species
GUGAGUCAUCGAAUCUUUGAACGCAUAUUGCACUCUCUGGUAUUCCGGAGAGUAUGCCUGUUUGAGGGUCUGUUAAAUAAAAAUCGGGGUUGUUGCUGCUUUUUGUGGUGACGCUUCGGAAUUGGGUUUUCUUUACCCUUCGGGUUAAGUGACCUAAAAUUUUGCAUGAUUUUUCGAACGUAUUUAAAUUUUUUACGUACGUUUGUGAUAAAUCGAAUAUAUUAGGUGUGGUCAUCCUCAUGAUUUCACGUCUAUAAUUUUUUUAUCAUUUUUAGACCUCAAAUCAGGUAAGAACACCCG